AUUACGCGUGCUCUGAUCCUUUCUCAAAAAAAAAAAAAAACGCGUGCUCUGAUCAUUCCCCCUCCCCAACUCCACACUACGCCGCCGCCAACCACCUCUCCACAUCCUCCAUGCCGGACAGCCUAGGUCGGACAGGAGAUGGACAAGCUGUUGGCGCAGAUGCUGGGGAGCAUCUUCCUCUGCCUCCCCGACCCAGCUGACCUCGGCCGCACCUCGGUCGCCUGCAAGUCCUUCCGCGACCUCAUCGCUGACAGCUACUUCCGCCGGCAACAUCGCAAACGCCACACCUCGCCCCUCCUGGGCUUUGUCGGCAAAUUCGGCGACUUCCACCGCGCCAUCUCGCCGCACCCCUCCGCGCUGGCAGCCAAGACCGUCGACAACGCCUGCGACUUCUCCUUCUCCUUCCUCCCUAGGACGGAGAGCAUCAUCUAUGGUGUCGUGGAUAUCCGCGAGGGUCGCGUCAUCCUCGCCACAGUGAAUGAGGUGUUUGGUGAGGAUUACGUGGUGUGUGACCCCUUGCACCGCACGUAUGUGGUUCUCCCCAAACUCCACGACGCUGCGACAUCCAAAAGAAACAUUUUCUUAGCCCCACCGAUGCCGGAAACUGUUGCUGACAAGGAUGGGCAGACAACCUUCAGAGUGAUUAGGAUGGCGCCGAGAGGAGACCAUUUUGAUACCCAUGUCUUCUCUUCCUGGACUUGUCAGUGCGAAGCGUCCUGUUGGCUCCCGUUUGUUUACUCUGCCAGGGAUGGUUAACCACUGCCGUGCACAAUAUGCUCACGGCCGCUUCUACUUCGUAUCUAAUAUCAAUAGAUGGGAAACGCUGGUUCUUGACCCCAUGACAAUGGAGUUUUCUACUAUUGAUGGCCCUCCCAUGGACAGAGUUUGUGAUGAAGACAUAUGUAUCGUGGAGGCAGAUGAAGGCAGUCUCGGGAUGUUUCUAACGUACCAAGACUAUGACAGAAGCAUGAUCAUUUAUUGGCAAAGUGAAGGUGAUAUUUCCGGACCAUGGCGCGAAGAGAAAAGAAUUGUUGUAGGUGACAUGUGUAGAGUUUUUUCUUCCGAAGGGAGACAUGUAUUUGGACAUGAUACUAUUGCAUGUUUCUCAUUGGAUGCCAAAGCAUUGGAGCUCGAGAGGGUAUGUUACAUGAUUCUGGAUGAGGCGUACCCAUAUAGCAAUCUUCCACUACCGUACGCAUUACCCACCGUAGCAUCAGGCCCCAAAGAGACGCAGCAGACCAGAACGAUUGCUGAGGAGAUGGAGGACGCUCAGGAGAUGGAGGAUGACGAGUACCUGUUCUAGGACCUUGAAGUGGAUUUUCAGUUACUAGAAGAGGAGAAUGACAACGAUGACGACUUCUUGUCAGAGCCUACAGUGACUUUUGAGUUAACAGCCGAGGAGACGCAUAAGCAGGUGGCUGCAGCCAUUGGACACUCGAAUGUCUGGAACUCGCACCCCAAGAACUACGGCCCCGGAUCCAGGGUUUGCCGUGUCUGUGGCAACUCACAUGGCCUGAUCCGCAAGUACGGGCUAAUGUGCUGCAGGCAGUGUUUCCGCAGCAACGCCAAGGACAUUGGCUUCAUCAAGUACCGUUAAGA